GGGUCAGUAGGUUGGUCGUGCCACCGGUACGUACUGGUCUCACUGAUUCCUCCUUCCUGAAGAACCGUAAUGCCAUUAAUUUGGUGUUGCGGGGAAACAGGACUGUUACUUUGAAAAAAUUAGAGUGUUUAGAGCAAGCUAACGCUUGAAUACAUUAGCAUGUAAUAAUGAAAUAGGACGAUCGAUCCUAUUUUGUUGGUUUCUAGGAUUGACGUA
rnacentral:rRNA from 1 species